GAUGAACGCUGGCGGCGUGCCUAAUACAUGCAAGUCGAGCGAACAGACGAGGAGCUUGCUCCUCUGACGUUAGCGGCGGACGGGUGAGUAACACGUGGAUAACCUACCUAUAAGACUGGGAUAACUUCGGGAAACCGGAGCUAAUACCGGAUAAUAUAUUGAACCGCAUGGUUCAAUAGUGAAAGACGGUUUUGCUGUCACUUAUAGAUGGAUCCGCGCCGCAUUAGCUGGUUGGUAAGGUAACGGCUUACCAAGGCGACGAUGCGUAGCCGACCUGAGAGGGUGAUCGGCCACACUGGAACUGAGACACGGUCCAGACGCCUAAGAGAGGCAGCAGUAGGGAAUCGUCCGCAAUGGGCGAAAGCCUGACGGAGCAACGCCGAGUGAGUGAUGAAGGUCUUCGGAUCGUAAAACUCUGUUAUGAGGGAAGAACAAAUGUGUAAGUAACUAUGCACGUCUUGACGGUACCUAAUCAGAAAGCCACGGCUAACUACGUG
rnacentral:rRNA from 1 species